GAGCAUCCAUUGACAACCUGACGCUGUUCACUUGUGGCCAAUCAGGUAUUUGGAAAGAGGAUGCAAAUUAAUGUCCCAGCGCUUUCUGUCUGCUGUCACUGUAGCAGCACAGAUUGAAUGUGGGAUGACAGUC